GAUGAACGCUGGCGGCGUGCCUAAUACAUGCAAGUCGAGCGACCGGACGAGAAGCUUUCUUCUCUGAUGUUAGCGGCGGACGGGCGAGUAACACGUGGAUAACCUACCUAUAAGACUGGGAUAACUUCGGGAAACCGGAGCUAAUACUGGCUAAUAUUUUGAACCGCAUGGUUCAAAAGUGAAAGACGCUCUUGCUGUCACUUAUAGAUGGAUCCGCGCCGCAUUAGCUAGUUGGUAAGGUAACGGCUUACCAAGGCAACGAUGCAUAGCCGACCUGAGAGGGUGAUCAGCCACACUGGAACUGAGACACGGUCCAGACUCCUACGGGAGGCAGCAGUAGGGAAUCUUCCACAAUGGGCGAAAGCCUGACGGAGCAACGCCGCGUGAGUGAUGAAGGUCUUCGGAUCGUAAAACUCUGUUGUUAGGGAAGAACAUAUGUGUAAGUAACUGUGCACAUCUUGACGGUACCUAAUCAGAAAGCCACGGCUAACUACGUG
rnacentral:rRNA from 1 species